rnacentral:rRNA from 1 species
UCCGUAGGUGAACCUGCGGAAGGAUCAUUAAAUAAUCAAUAAUCUUGGCUUGUCCAUUAUUAUCUAUUUACUGUGAACUGUAUUAUUAUUUGACGUUUGAGGGAUGUUCCAAUGUUAUAAGGAUAGACAUUGGAGAUGUUAACCGAGUCAUAAUCCGGUUUAGGCCUGGUAUCCUAUUAUUAUUUACCAAAUGAAUUCAGAAUUAAUAUUGUAACAUAGACCUAAAAAAUCUAUAAAACAACUUUUAACAACGGAUCUCUUGGUUCUCGCAUCGAUGAAGAACGUAGCAAAGUGCGAUAACUAGUGUGAAUUGCAUUUUCAGUGAAUCAUCGAGUCUUUGAACGCAACUUGCGCUCAUUGGUAUUCCAAUGAGCACGCCUGUUUCAGUAUCAAAACAAACCCUCUAUCCAACUUUUGUUGUAUAGGAUUAUUGGGGGCCUCUCGAUCUGUAUAGAUCUUGAAACCCUUGAAAUUUACUAAGGCCUGAACUUGUUUAAUGCCUGAACUUUUUUUUAAUAUAAAGGAAAGCUCUUGUAAUUGACUUUGAUGGGGCCUCCCAAAUAAAUCUUUUUUAAAUUUGAUCUGAAAUCAGGUGGGAUUACCCGCUGAACUUAAGCAUAUCAAUAAGCGGAGGAA